rnacentral:tRNA from 1 species
GCCCGGGUAGCUCAGUUGGUAGAGCAUGCGACUGAAAAUNNGAAAAUCGCAGUGUCGGUGGUUCGAUCCCGCCCCCGGGCA